rnacentral:tRNA from 1 species
GGGCCGCUAGCUCAACUGGCAGAGCAACGGACUUUUAAUCCGCAGGUUGCAGGUUCGAGUCCUGCGCGGCCCA